GCGUGGCGCGCGCCCGCCUG
rnacentral:miRNA from 1 species